rnacentral:rRNA from 1 species
GUUGAACGCUGGCGGCAGGCCUAACACAUGCAAGUCGAGCGAGCGGCGGACGGGUGAUUAAUGUCUGGGAAACUGCCUGAUGGAGGUGGAUAACUGCUGCAAACGGUAGCUAAGACCGCAUACCAUCGGAUGUGCCCAGAUGGGAUUAGCUAGUAGGUGGGGGAAUGGCUCACCAAGGCGACGAUCACUAGCUGGUCUGAGAGGAUGACCAGCCACACUGGAACUGAGACACGGUCCAGACUCCUACGGGAGGCAGCAGUGGGGAAUAUUGCACAAUGGGCGCAAGCCUGAUGCAGCCAUGCCGCGUGUAUGAAGAAGGCCUUCGGGUUGUAAAGUACUUUCAGCGAGGAGGCGUUACUCGCAGAAGAAGCACCGGCUAACUCCGUGCCAGCAGCCGCGGUAAUUC